ACCAACAAUUUGAUGUCAAAUCAUAAUAAAAUUGACCUCACUAAUUAAUGUGCAAUAUCCACUAUUAUAUUCUAUAUAUUUCCCUCAUCUUCUUCUUCAUCUUCUUUGUACUACACAAAUGACAAAGUUAUAUAUAAACAAAUUAACUUGAAAUUCCAUCUACUUCAAUAGCCACAACAAUAAAAGGUAUUUCCAUAUAGGUCCUUCAACUUCUACUUGUGUAUUGAAAUGUAGUGGCGGGUAAACCACUUCUUCUUUCGUAAAAAUUCAAAUAAAAUCGAGCUUGAAUGGAACUGAAUAAGAUUUGGUGAACGAAUACAAACCAAAUUGGAAAUAAGCAUAUAUGUGGAGUAAGAAUUUGUUUCCAUGACAAUGCUCUCUUUUCUGAUCCUUACACAAUGCAAUUAUCAAUUUCCAAGUAAGAAAUUAUUCCUUCAAAUCUUGGUUAUACAUAUAUACUUCAUUUUGUGUGUCAAUUUCUAUGACAUACUCUAUUUUUUAGUUCCUUUUUAAAAAAUAAUAAAUAUUUUUUAUAUUAGUAUUUGCAAAUAUUGGUUUGCUCAUUAGUAUUUAAAAUUAGGAUGAAAUGUUAAAAUAAAAUUAUUUGAGAAGUAUUUCUUUAAAAAAAUCACAAUUUUUUGGAAAGUUAGAAUGUUUUUCUUCUUAACAACACCUAAGUUUGAUUAUGAUAAAUACUUAUUCACAUCGGGUACGAUUUACAUAUAGUUAAGUGACACAAUGAGAUGAAAAUGAACAUACAUAUUAAUUUGCUUGGUGUAAAAAUUGAAUGCAGAUAAAUUUUUAUGUUUGAUUAAUGUCUUUAUUGCCUGUUUAUCAAAUUAAACUUAUACUUGGGGACGUUUGGCCAUAGAUUUCCCAAGUAAUAUUUGGGGAAAAAUUUGACAAAUAGUGUUUGUCCAUAUAAUUUGUUAUUAUUUGGCAAAUAUUUUUGGUAAAUAUUCCAAAUUUCCAAAUACUAGUUUUUUUUAGUAUUUGGGCCAAAUCUCAUUAUUUGGGAUCUUUUAAAAAUUAAAAUUUUAUGCCAAACUUUUAUCUUUUACAAAAACACCAUCUAUAGUAAUUAUUUGCGUUGUAUUACAUAAUUUUUUACGUAAACAUCAAAAUAUUUAAGUCAGGAUCCAAAAGAGCAAUUUUUUUCCUAAAAAAAUAUAAAUUGUAUACCAAAUUUUUUUGAACCAAAAAAGCAAAAUUACUACCUAGGGAGCGAUAUCUUUUAACCUGGGCAUGCCGUCAAAAACUUCAUUCAAAGAAGCGAUAAUUUUAUGGCUACAAAUUUUAUUUUAUUUUUAAAAUUGUUGCCAUCAAGGAAAAUUGCUGCCGAAGAAGUGAUAAUUUUUAAAAAAAAAAAAUUAGAAAAUUACUGCCAUUGCAGCAAAUUAAGUUUUUAAAUUAAAAUGGUUACAAAUUUUAUUUUAUUUUUACAGAAAAAGUUGGAUAGUCAUGGACACUACUUGUUAUUUAUUGCAACGAAGAUUCAAUUGACUUGUAAUAUAAAUUUAUGGUUAGUUUUGAUAGUAGUUUUUAAAAUUUAUGGAUAUAAAUCAUAGUUUUCUAAAAAAAGAAAUAUGUUUCCCAAAUACUAUGGUCAAACACAUAGUAAAAUUUCACCCAAAUUUUCACUUAAAUAGUAUUUCUCAAAAAUAUUUGGAAAUUUUUGACCAAACGCUAGCUUAGAUUUUGAUAAUAUCUUAUUAUAUAUUUUCUUCCUUUGUGAAUGCUACAAGUACCAGCUACAACCCUAUCAACAUUAAAGAAUGUUGAAAAUUCUAUCUCUUAAUUAUAUCUGUGUGUUGAAUAAUGACUUGAUGGCUCCUUUUUAAAUGUUAAAUUAAAUUAUUAUCAAAGUCAUGUAUUAGAAUACUAAUUCUUUUUUUCCUUUGACCCUUUCAAUCUUUAUUUUGUUUUCAACUUUACUGUACAUUGAUUGCUUGUUUAAUUUCUUAGUCAACAGACAACAGUGUAAAAAAUGUGAUACAAUGCAUGUAUGCAAUAAUUGUCACCAGUAGUACUAGUUAGUGGUAAAAUAAUAAUUAGAAAAGUAUUAAAAAUACUCCUGAAUUUGUGAUAAAUUAUUAAUUUUGUUUUUAAAUUUUUGACAGUUUUAAAAAUAUUUUUUUACUUGAUUAACUAAAUUUCGAUACAUUCUUGAUAUAGCACAUGACAUGGAAAGUGAACUCAAACUCUUGUAUGAGCAUAAAACUCUUAAUAAAAAGCCGAAAGAAGUAUUAAAAACAUUACUAAACUUGAAGAAAAUUUAGGAGUGUAUUUCACUCAUAUUGCAAGAUAUGAAGGGUAUAUUUAAGUUCAGUUAGUUAAAUAAAAAAUAUUUUUAAAAUUACUAAUAAUUCAAAAAUGAAAUUAAUAAUUCAUACUUAAUUUAGAAAUGUUUUCAAUAAUUCUCUCGGUAACAAGUAAACAUCUGGAAAGAGGAAGGAAGUUGCCAAGGAUUUUGGAAGUCUGUUGAUAGAUGUAGGACCCAAAAGUUGUAAGAAUUUUGUCUGUAUAUCAGACAACGUGAUACAACAGAAUUGCAGAAAAUAGAGAAAAAUUGUCCCCAAAAAAUCCAAAGGGUAAAAACAGAAAAGGGUUACAGUUUGGUCCAAUGAAAUUCAACUUUCCUUUACCUUUGAUUUUGAUCUAAUAUUAUAAUCGAUGUAAAAAAAUUAAUAUUUAAAUUUAUAUAAAAUUAAAUAAUUAGGCACAUAUAUUCUACGUAACAUCGGAAGACUUUGUGACAAGGCAAGUCUUCAUCCGUCUAUUCAAACUUCUGGCAAUUGCGAAAAUUUGCAAUCAAGUUUUGAUGCGUGGGUUACUUUUUGCAAAACUUAUUUUAAUUGGAUUUAAACUUAAAUAGUGACACUGAAAUACCCUAUUUAUGCAAAUUCAAUGUUUUCUUUUUGUUUUUUUAUUAGGUGUUUGAUAUCUACGUAGGAGCCUGAUUAAAUUUGGAUUCGAAAAAGUCUGGAGUAAAGCGGUCUGUAACAAAGAUGACUAUGUAUUUAGGAGAUUCAAACUCAAAACCUUUGGUUAAUAAUAAAAGAAUACUUACUACUCCGCUCUAUAAAAUUCAAUGCUUUCUCAGACCGACCCACCCACCCACACACAUAAUAGUGGGCCCUACUUAUUUGGCCCACCAGUGAAAUGGAUUUUGGUAGCUCGGGUCCCAUGGCCCAUAAAAACCUAUUCUAAUUUUAGAACACCGGUG
rnacentral:lncRNA from 1 species